CCUUUACUACUGAAUCAUAUAAGGGUUUUCCAUUUGAUGAUGACGUACAGUGGUGUAUAUUAAUAACUACAGAACAAUUUGAUCAUAUUCCUUCUUCAUUUUAAUGAACCGAAACAUUAUGUGGUCAUUCUAGCAUUUAGUCUGAAGCCGUGACUGAUAGAGCGAACACUUGUGAACUUUCACUAAGAAAACGUCUAGCUGUGUACAUAUAUUAACAUUAAUAUUGCCUUACGCAGCUGUUGAAAUUGAAGGCUAUCUAGAAAAAUAAGUCAAUCAACCAUCUGAUGAAUGCAAGGCAAGCAGACAGGAUCUAUGGGGUCAAGGGCUUAAUAAAUGGCAAAAAAGAAGACAUGCAACUCGCACAAUGAAUCAUGAAGAAACCAUGAUUCCAGGUCAAAUAUACCAGUCAUGGCUUCAAAAUGCUUCUGAUAUUGCCUCUAGAAGAGGAAUAAAAUGAAAGGUUCGUGCUUGCUCUUCAACAUGGUUCACUUUUCUAACCUGGGCAAUGAAUCUUUUGAUUAUCAUGUAAGUCAGGAGACAAUUGGAUAGGCUAAGAAUAUACUAACAUGUCCACCAUUGUUUAAAAUUUCAAUUGUUGGAUGUAUCUACCCUUGCAAAACAAACAUUAAAGUGAAAAGCAAAGGAGCCUUGGACAACAUACUGCAUAUUUUGCAGGAAUGCAGGGAUAUUACGUCUUAUUGGAGUAGCUAACCUGAUGGAUCUGCCACCUCUGUUCCUUAUUGAUGAUUUAUGUGCAUAUGAAUAUAGAGAGAUCUAUUAUUCA